CUACGAAUACCGAAGAAUGUUAUCACGGGAGACACACGGCGGGUGCUAACGUCCGUCGUGAAGAGGGAAACAACCCAGACCGCCAGCUAAGGUCCCAAAGUCAUGGUUAAGUGGGAAACGAUGUGGGAAGGCACAGACAGCCAGGAUGUUGGCUUAGAAGCAGCCAUCAUUUAAAGAAAGCGUAAUAGCUCACUGGUCGAGUCGGCCUGCGCGGAAGAUGUAACGGGGCUAAACCAUGCACCGAAGCUGCGGCAGCGACGCUUAUGCGUUGUUGGGUAGGGGAGCGUUCUGUAAGCCGUUGAAGGUGUCCUGUGAGGGGUGCUGGAGGUAUCAGAAGUGCGAAUGCUGACAUAAGUAACGAUAAAGCGGGUGAAAAGCCCGCUCGCCGGAAGACCAAGGGUUCCUGUCC
rnacentral:rRNA from 1 species